GCAUUGCUGACGAGUUGCAAACAGAGCGAAACAGCUGUCCAUUGU
rnacentral:hammerhead_ribozyme from 1 species